rfam:Nanoarchaeum equitans Kin4-M, complete genome.
GCGGCCGUGCCCGAGCGGUCGAAGGGGUCGGGCUUAGGACCCGAUGGGUUAGUCCCGUCCGGGGUUCGAAUCCCCGCGGCCGCA